GACGUAGGGGGCCAGCGUUGUUCGGAAUUACUGGGUGUAAAGGGUUCGUAGGCGGUGUGGCAAGUCGGGAGUGAAAUCUCUGGGCUCAACCCAGAGACUGCUUCCGAAACUGCUGUGCUUGAGUGUGAGAGAGGCUCGUGGAAUUGCAGGUGUAGCGGUGAAAUGCGUAGAUAUCUGCAGGAACACCCGUGGCGAAAGCGGCGAGCUGGACCACUACUGACGCUGAGGAACGAAAGCUAGGGGAGCAAACAGG
rnacentral:rRNA from 1 species